rnacentral:rRNA from 1 species
CCUACGGGAGGCUGCAGUGGGGAAUAUUGGACAAUGGGGGCAACCCUGAUCCAGCCAUGCCGCGUGUGUGAAGAAGGCCCUCGGGUUGUAAAGCACUUUCAGUGAGGAAGAACGCCUGGUGGUUAAUACCCAUCAGGAAAGACAUCACUCACAGAAGAAGCACCGGCUAACUCUGUGCCAGCAGCCGCGGUAAUACGGAGGGUGCGAGCGUUAAUCGGAAUUACUGGGCGUAAAGCGCGCGUAGGUGGCUUGAUAAGCCGGUUGUGAAAGCCCCGGGCUCAACCUGGGAACGGCAUCCGGAACUGUCAAGCUAGAGUGCAGGAGAGGAAGGUAGAAUUCCCGGUGUAGCGGUGAAAUGCGUAGAGAUCGGGAGGAAUACCAGUGGCGAAGGCGGCCUUCUGGACUGACACUGACACUGAGGUGCGAAAGCGUGGGUAGCAAACAGGAUUAGAUACCCUGGUAGUC